rnacentral:rRNA from 1 species
UACAGAGGUCUCAACCGUUGUUCGGAAUUACUGGGCGUAAAGCGAGUGUAGGCGGUCUGCUAAGUCGGGUGUGAAAGCCCCGGGCUCAACCCGGGAAGUGCACUCGAAACUGGCAGGCUAGAGUAUCGGAGAGGUUGGUGGAAUUCUCGGUGUAGAGGUGAAAUUCGUAGAUAUCGAGAGGAACACCGGUGGCGAAGGCGGCCAACUGGACGAAUACUGACGCUGAGACUCGAAAGCGUGGGGAGCAAACAGG